rnacentral:pre_miRNA from 1 species
GGUGCAACGAAGGCGAACGGUUGACGAUCAGGUCGUUCCGACCGCUCGCCUUCGAGGCCACC